ACUGCUCAGUAACACGUGGACAACCUGCCCUUAGGACGGGGAUAAACCCGGGAAACUGGGUAUAAUACCCGAUAGGUCUCGAUUGCUGGAAUGCAUCGAGAUUUAAAGCUCCGGCGCCUAAGGAUGGGUCUGCGGCCUAUCAGGUAGUAGUGGGUGUAGCGUACCUACUAGCCUACGACGGGUACGGGUUGUGAGAGCAAGAGCCCGGAGAUGGAUUCUGAGACACGAAUCCAGGCCCUACGGGGUGCAGCAGGCGCGAAAACUUUACAAUGCUGGCAACAGCGAUAAGGGAACCUCGAGUGCCAGGUUACAAAUCUGGCUGUCGAGAUGCCUAAAAAGCAUUUCAUAGCAAGGGCCGGGCAAGACCGGUGCCAGCCGCCGCGGUAACACCGGCGGCUCGAGUGGUAACCGUUAUUAUCGGGUCUAAAGGGUCUGUAGCCGGCCGGAUAAGUCUCUUGAGAAAUCUGGCAGCUUAACUGUCAGGCUUUCAGGAGAUACUGUCUGGCUCGAGGCCGGGAGAGGUGAGAGGUACUUCAGGGGUAGGGGUGAAAUCUUGUAAUCCUUGAAGGACCACCAGUGGCGAAGGCGUCUCACCAGAACGGACCUGACGGCAAGGGACGAAAGCUAGGGGCACGAACCGGAUUAGAUACCCGGGUAGUCCUAGCCGUAAACGAUACUCGCUAGGUGUCGGCCACGGUGCGACCGUUGUCGGUGCCGUAGGGAAGCCGUGAAGCGAGCCACCUGGGAAGUACGGCCGCAAGGCUGAAACUUAAAGGAAUUGGCGGGGGAGCAC
rnacentral:rRNA from 1 species